rnacentral:rRNA from 1 species
GGCUGACACUCCUACGGGAGGCAGCAGUGGGGAAUAUUGCACAAUGGGCGCAAGCCUGAUGCAGCCAUGCCGCGUGUAUGAAGAAGGCCUUCGGGUUGUAAAGUACUUUCAGCAGUGAGGAAGGUUCAUGCGUUAAUAGCGUAUGGAUUUGACGUUAGCUGCAGAAGAAGCACCGGCUAACUCCGUGCCAGCAGCCGCGGUAAUACGGAGGGUGCGAGCGUUAAUCGGAAUUACUGGGCGUAAAGCGCAUGCAGGUGGUUUGUUAAGUCAGAUGUGAAAGCCCGGGGCUCAACCUCGGAAUUGCAUUUGAAACUGGCAGACUAGAGUACUGUAGAGGGGGUAGAAUUUCAGGUGAAGCGGUGAAAAUGCGUAGAGAUCUGAAGGAAUACCGGUGGCGAAGGCGGCCCCCUGGACAGAUACUGACACUCAGAUGCGAAAGCGUGGGGAGCAAACAGGAUUAGAUACCCUGGUAG